rnacentral:rRNA from 1 species
GAUGAACGCUGACAGAAUGCUUAACACAUGCAAGUCAACUUGAACUUCGGUUUGGGUGGCGGACGGGUGAGUAACGCGUAAAGAACUUGCCUCACAGCUAGGGACAACAUUUGGAAACGAAUGCUAAUACCUGAUAUUAUGAUUUUAGGGCAUCCUAGAAUUAUGAAAGCUAUAUGCGCUGUGAGAGAGCUUUGCGUCCCAUUAGCUAGUUGGAGAGGUAACGGCUCACCAAGGCGAUGAUGGGUAGCCGGCCUGAGAGGGUGAACGGCCACAAGGGGAUGAAGACACGCCCCUACCCCGCACGGGGGGCAAGAGUGGGAAUUAUUGGAAAAGGAACAAGGAGUUUCACCAACCAUUUUUGGGGGAAGGAGAAAUUUUUGGGGAAUAAAAAUUUUUUUCAGUGGAAAAAAAAAAAAUGAGGUUAAAAAAAAAAGAGGUGAGGGCAAAAUCGGUC